rnacentral:rRNA from 1 species
UACGAAGGGGGCUAGCGUUGCUCGGAAUCACUGGGCGUAAAGCGCACGUAGGCGGCUUUUUAAGUCAGGGGUGAAAUCCUGGAGCUCAACUCCAGAACUGCCUUUGAUACUGAGAGCUUGAGUCCGGGAGAGGUGAGUGGAACUGCGAGUGUAGAGGUGAAAUCGUAGAUAUUCGCAAGAACACCAGUGGCGAAGGCGGCUCACUGGCCCGGUACUGACGCUGAGGUGCGAAAGCGUGGGGAGCAAACAGGGAU